rnacentral:rRNA from 1 species
UACAGAGGGUGCGAGCGUUAAUCGGAAUUACUGGGCGUAAAGGGCGCGUAGGCGGCCACCGCAAGUCGGUUGUGAAAUCUCCGGGCUUAACCCGGAAAGGUCAAUCGAUACUGCGGGGCUAGAGUGCAGAAGGGGCAACUGGAAUUCUCGGUGUAGCGGUGAAAUGCGUAGAUAUCGAGAGGAACACCUGCGGCGAAGGCGGGUUGCUGGGCUGACACUGACGCUGAAGCGCGAAAGCUAGGGGAGCGAACGGG